rnacentral:rRNA from 1 species
GCAUGUCUAAGUAUAAACAAAUUUAUACAGUGAAACUGCGAAUGGCUCAUUAUAUCAGCUAUAAUUUAUUUGAUGAUACCUUUUACUACUUGGAUAACCGUGGUAAUUCUAGAGCUAAUACAUGCAUUAAACACCCCAACUUUUAUCGGAAGGGGAGCAUUUAUUAGAUACAAAACCAGUGGGGGCAACCUCUUACUUGGUGAUUCAUAAUAACUAAGCAUAUCGCAUGGCCUUGUGCGGCGAAGGAUCAUUCAGAUUUCUGCCCUAUCAACUUUCGAUGGUAGUAUAGAGGACUACCAUGGUGGUAACGGGUAACGGGGAAUUAGGGUUCGAUUCCGGAGAGGGAGCCUGAGAAACGGCUACCACUUCUAAGGAAGGCAGCAGGCGCGCAAAUUACCCAAUCCUGAUACAGGGAGGUAGUGACAAUAAAUAACAAUCCAGGGCCUUUUAGGUCUUGGAAUUGGAAUGAGUACAAUUUAAACCUCUUAACGAGGAACAAUUGGAGGGCAAGUCUGGUGCCAGCAGCCGCGGUAAUUCCAGCUCCAAUAGCGUAUAUUAAAGUUGUUGCAGUUAAAAAGCUCGUAGUUGAACCUUAGACUGUCGAAUUGAUGGAUUUGUUUUGCUGUUUUUUCAGUUGCUUUCGGGUUACUGGGAUGAUAGUUGAAUUGCCAUUUUUUCCUAGUCUUUACCAAUCUGGAGUUUUAGGAGUGGGGAUUUCAGUAGCAAUGCUGAGCCUUGCUUUUAUAACCAGACCUUUUACCUUGAAAAAAUUAGAGUGUUCAAAGCAGGCAUUUUUGCCUGAAUAUAUUAGCAUGGAAUAAUAAAAUAGGACUUUGGUUUUAUUUUGUUGGUUUCUGAAACCAAGGUAAUGAUUAAUAGGGACAGUUGGGGACAUUUGUAUGGUACUGUCAGUGGUGAAAUACUUGAACCAGUACCAGACAAACUGAUGCGAAAGCGUCUGUCAAGGAUGUUUUCAUUAAUCAAGAACGAAAGUUAGGGGAUCGAAGACGAUUAGAUACCGUCGUAGUCUUAACCAUAAACUAUGCCAACUCGGGAUCAGGCAAUGUUAAAUUUUUAACGACUUGCUUGGCACCGUAUGAGAAAUCAAAGUUUUUGGGUUCCGGGGGGAGUAUGGUCGCAAGGCUGAAACUUAAAGGAAUUGACGGAAGGGCACCACCAGGAGUGCUGCGGCUCAAUUCGACUCAACACGGGAAAACUCACCAGGUCCAGACAUAGUGAGGAUUGACAGAUUGAGAGCUCUUUCUUGAUUCUAUGGGUGGUGGUGCAUGGCCGUUCUUAGUUGGUGGAGUGAUUUGUCUGGUUAAUUCCGAUAACGAACG